UUUAAUAAAAAAAUAAAUGUUAAUCAAGGCUUAUCUUUAAGUAAUUUAAAAUGAUUAAAAUCUUGAUUUAAAUAUAAUUUACUUUUCAAAAUAAUUUAUUUUGAAAAACAUUUAUUUGAUUUUAUUAAAUCAAGAAGCUCAGGAUUAAACUAAUUGUUACUUUGCUUUGAAUUUUGACUCAAUUUAGUCAAUUAAUUAAAUUUGGCCAUAAUUGAAAUUAAUUAGAUUACAAU
rnacentral:lncRNA from 1 species